rnacentral:rRNA from 1 species
AUUGAACGCUGGCGGCAGGCCUAACACAUGCAAGUCGAGCGGUUGAAGGGUGCUUGCUCCUGUAGCCAACGGCGGACGAGUGUGUCAUGCCUAGGCAUCUGCCGGGUAGUGGGGGAUAACGUCCGCACCCGGUCGCUCAUACCACAUCCGUCCGGAGUGAGAGAGUGGGGGAUCUUCGGCCGUUACGCUCUCCGUUGAGCCGAGUAGGGAUUGGCUAGUUGGUGGGGUAAAGACUUACCAAGUCGACGAUCCGUAACUGGUCUGAGAGGAUGAUCAGUCACACUGGCACUGAGACACGGUCCAGACUCCUACGGGAGGCAGCAGUGGGGAAUAUUGGACAAUGGGCGAAAGCCUGAUCCAGCCAUGCCGCGUGUGGGAAGAAGGUCUUCGGAUUGUAAAGCGCUUUAAUCAGGGAAGAAGGGCAUUAAGCUAAUACCUUGCUGUCUUGACGUUACCAGCAGAAUAAGCACCGGCUAACUACGUG